UCUAACCUUAACCGAGGAAACUGUCUACAACAUGGUAUGACAGUUAACUGUAAAUUGAAAACGAAAAAUAUUUUCCUCGUUCCAUAAGAGGUAAUUUUGCAGAUUUAAAUGGAUUUCUCGGAUAAGGUUAAACUAGAAAAACUGUGCAACAACGUGGUAUGGCCGUUAACCGGAAAUUCAAAAAUGAGAAAACUUGUACAAUUUGCUGUACAGGUAAUUAUGCUGAUGUUACAUAGAUUUUCCUUUUAAGGCUAAAUGAGAGAAACUACGUAACAACGUGCUAUGACUACUAAGGGGAAAUCCAAAAUGAAUAAAAUUGUAGAAUUUGCAUUAUAGAUAAUUAUACAGGUGAUAUAUGGAUUUCUCGGUAAAAGUUAACCGAGAUGAACUGUGUAACAACGUGGCUUGAAUGUUAAUCGGAAAUGUAAAAUGGAAAAAAUUGUAUAAUUUGCAUUUCAGGUAAUUCUAUAGAUUAUAUAUGUCUCUCUCGACCAGGGUUAACAGAGAAAAAUAGUGUAACAACAUGGUAUGACCGUUAACCGGAAAUUCAAAAUCGAAAAAUUUCUAUUUGUCCCAUGAUUGGUAAUUCUGCAAAUUUUAUAUGGCUUUC